rnacentral:rRNA from 1 species
GACGAACGCUGGCGGCGUGCUUAACACAUGCAAGUCGAACGGAAAGGCCCUGCUUUUGUGGGGUGCUCGAGUGGCGAACGGGUGAGUAACACGUGAGUAACCUGCCCUUGACUUUGGGAUAACUUCAGGAAACUGGGGCUAAUACCGGAUAGGAGCUCCUGCUGCGUGGUGGUGGUAGGAAAGUUUCGGCGGUUGGGGAUGGAUUCGCGGCUUAUCAGCUUGUUGGUGGGGUAGUGGCUUACCAAGGCUUUGAAGGGUAGCCGGCCUGAGAGGGUGGCCGGGCACAUUGGGACUGAGGUACGGACCAGACUCCUACGGGAGGCAGCAGUGGGGAAUAUUGCACAAUGGGCGGAAGCGUGAGGCAGCAACGCCGCGUGCGGGAUGACGGCCUUCGGGUUGUAAACCGCUUUCGACUGUGACGAAGCGUGAGUGACGGUAAUGGGUAAAGAAGCACCGGCUAACUACGUG